GUCACAAAUUCCGUAUCAAACGUUUUCCUUGUUUCGGUUAAUACAGAAUGGAAAGGAACAGUGUUUUUUAAACGAUCAUCUGUAGGAUGAGAAUGCGAUUGUCCUCUCUCCGUUGGAAAAGCAGAGGAAGCGGUCGGAAAGUGCGAGUUAUUGUCUCGAAAACAAGCGAAUGAGCCGAGGAGUCACAAGAUCAGAGGAACGAGAGGGUCAGCAUGUUUAUUCUGCCAGCUGUUUAUGCAUUCCUACUGUAGUGAAAUGAGAGGGAGCAUUAACCACCCUUACAGCUUCCCUGUGUGUUGGCCUCCUCCGUCUCUGCGUGCC